GUUCUAUGGGUGUCCAAACUGGGGGGUAAGAUAAUUUCUUUUGCAUUAUCUGCAGUAUUUAACCCUAACUUUAGUUUCAUAUUUUGCAGAGUAUUUACUAAUUAGUUUCAUAUUUUGCAGAGUAAUGAGCACUGUAAUUACUUUGGUUGGAUUGAUGAUGCACACCACAAUACUGUUGACUUAAAAUACCAAGUACAAGCAUUUCAAGAAGCAGUGGAGCAUCGUAUUCAGAAGUUAGAAAAGAAAGCUUUAUUUCUACUUAAGUUGCUUGUAUGUUUAGUAUUGAUUAAUAUCUUGUUUAGUUUGACAAUGUAAUGUGAGUGAUAAUUGUACUUGUUGUAAUGCAAGUGAAUAGAGAUGUGUAAGCUUUAUUUCUACAUACAUUUUACAGAGUAAUGGAAGCAUUGGAAAAAUCUGUUCUACAAAGUAUCCAAAGUCAAUAUUGUUCCAUACAAACAUAGUAUCCAAAGUCAAUGUUGUUCCAUACAAAUAUAGUAUCCACUGUCAAUGUUGUUCUAUACAAACAUAGUAUCCACAGUCAAUAUUGUUCCAUACAAACAUAGUAUCCACAGUCAAACCAAUACAAAGUCAAAAUGAUCCACAAAAGUAGAACCAAAUACAACACAUAUCUAUUCAAACCAAAACAACUGCUAUUCAAGUUUCAAACCAAUACAAACUCAAAACUAUUGCAUCAAGUUUCAUAUCUACUCAAACCAAAAUAUUGCAUACAAAUCAUCCAAGGGUCUCAUUUCAAGUACCCACUAUUUCGAAUUGAAGUAUGCAGAGACUGAUUGUGCACAAGCAUCUAGAGGCUGAUUACAUACAAACCAAAAUAUUGCAUCCAAAGGCUGAUUGCAUACAAACCAAAAUACUAGAUACAAGCAUCCAGAGGCUGAUUGCGCUUCAAGUAUCCACCAUUUCAAGUAUCUACCAAAAUACAUCCAUUCAAAUCUACCAAAAUAAGGCUUUUACUACAUCAACUAUUUUUCUAAACCAAAUCUUAAUUUUCUAGAGAACCAAGUGCAUCAAUUUCACUUAUAGCACUUCCUUGUUGGGACUGCAAGUGUUUUGAUCUCGAUACUACCCUUUUUCCUCUACGCCUACAGUUUUUAUAUAGUUACUAUUGUAGCAAGGAAAAUAAAUUUAAAGUGAACAUUGUUGGUCAGUAUAGUACCUUGUGCGACUGCUAAUACUUGCUUGAGAUGGUGGUUCAGAGUGCG
rnacentral:lncRNA from 1 species